CGGGCGCGCGCGGGGCGGGCGGAGGCGGCGGUGCGGCGGCUGCACGCGCGGCUGCUGGCCGCGGACCUGCUGGUGAAGGACCUGUACGUCGAGAACUGCCACCUGGCGCACGCGCGCGCGCCCUGACGCCGCCCGCGCCCGGGUCGACGACCGCCUGGGAUACGUACGUCUGCUCCCAUUAGUCAUUCAUGAAGCCUCUCUUACUGUACACUGCGAGGGCCGAAGACGUCUAGGUUUGUUAAUUAAAAAGAUUUAUAGAAAUUAAACAUGACAUGGAAUUAAAAUUGACAUAAGUAAUGGUUAUAGACGAGCAACGUAAGACCGAAAGGGGACCAUUCAAGGCGUAGUCUUAAAAUUUCGCAAAAUAGGUAUUUCGUAUUCUUAUGUCCGUUUUCACCAUCAAUCCCUAAUUUUUAUGUGACCCCUAUGGUAACACGUAACAGUCAUUUUGUUUUCAUAGGGGUCACUUAAAAAUUAGGGAUUGAUAGUGAAAACAGGCAUUCGUCUCUGAAGGUUUGCCCGGAUGCGACUUCUAUGUUAUUUCAUACUAUCCUAAAAUGGUCUAACUGGUUCCCUAAUUGUUUGACAAACACCUUGUUUUGUUUCGCAAGCUUUUUAUUUUAUAGAUAGCAUUUAACAAAAUACAGAUUCUGCAAAUUUUUCUAAUGUUUAGUGUUCCCAAAAAUUUGAUUUAAUUUGUGAUUUUAAAAGUACAUGCUGUCCUAGCCAAGUGAAAUAAACAUUCCUUUACAAAAUCAAUAUUUUGUAAAAUGAUAAAUAUUUAUUACUUCUUGCACGUAAAAUUGCACAUGGCAGACUUAAUGCGUAAUAGUAUGUAUUAUCUACCAGCCAACCAUUGGUUAGGCAAAUAAAUUAAGGCUGUGCAAAAAUUUCAAAGUGGAUAUACUUACAUACAUUUAGAUAAAAUAAAUAACGUAAAAAAUACACCUUUAAUACGUAGACACAAUAAAAUCGUUGUCCACAGUACUGUCUAAAAUUAAAUAUAGUCUUAAAGGUGAAUUUUGAUUUAUCAAUAUACAUAGUUGAACGAUUCUGAAACGUCAAGUGGCAAAAAUCGGAACUAACAACCCAGUAUUGAUAGUAGCGUCCUCCUGUAAAUGACAUUUCAGUAUUUUCCAACGUGGCAAAAAUCAGAACUAAUAACCCAGCAUUGAUAGUAGCGCCCUCCUGUUAAUCUCAUAGCUGGGAUGGUUCAUCGUUGUGCAACUCACUUUUGAAAUAAACAUUUGGGAUUAGUUUUUUGACUAAUGAUGGGAUGUGAUACCAAGUCCCAAGUAUUGAAUUGAUUUGUUUGAUCAUUUCAUGUCAACUUUACCUGUAAUCUUCAUUGGAGGUAUUACACCAUGUAAAAAAUAAUUCACUUUCCCAAAGUGCCUUCUUUCGUAUUAAUGUUUUGCACUUUUUCAAUUAAGAUUUUCAGCUAAAUAAUGUUAUCAACCUGACUUAUAAAAAGUAUCUUUACUUUUUAUAGUAAAGAUUAGAGAUGAAACGGAUAUCCGGUAACUAUCCGGUAGGCCGGAUAUCCGGCCUAAAUUUACUAUCCGGCCGGAUACCGGAUAGUAACUCACUAUCCGGCCGGAUACCGGAUAUUAAAAAACUACGACAAUAAAGUGAAAUGCAUUAAUCUUUGAGGUAAAUGUCAAUAAAAUGGCUUAUAAUAA